AUUGAACGCUGGCGGCAUGCCUUACACAUGCAAGUCGAACGGUAACAGGUCUUCGGUUGCUGACGAGUGGCGAACGGGUGAGUAAUACAUCGGAACGUGCCCGAUCGUGGGGGAUAACGGAGCGAAAGCUUUGCUAAUACCGCAUACGAUCUACGGAUGAAAGCAGGGGACCGCAAGGCCUUGCGCGGACGGAGCGGCCGAUGGCAGAUUAGGUAGUUGGUGGGAUAAAAGCUUACCAAGCCGACGAUCUGUAGCUGGUCUGAGAGGACGACCAGCCACACUGGAACUGAGACACGGCCCAGACUCCUACGGGAGGCAGCAGUGGGGAAUGUUGGACAAUGGGCGAAAGCCUGAUCCAGCCAUGCCGCGUGCAGGAUGAAGGCCUUCGGGUUGUAAACUGCUUUUGUACGGAACGAAAAGACUCUUUCUAAUAAAGAGGGUCCAUGACGGUACCGUAAGAAUAAGCACCGGCUAACUACGUG
rnacentral:rRNA from 1 species